UACGAAGGGGGCUAGCGUUGCUCGGAAUUACUGGGCGUAAAGCGCACGUAGGCGGCUUUCUAAGUCGGGGGUGAAAUCCUGGAGCUCAACUCCAGAACUGCCUUCGAUACUGGCGAUCUUGAGUCCGGAAGAGGUGAGUGGAAUUCCUAGUGUAGAGGUGGAAUUCGUAGAUAUUAGGAAGAACACCAGUGGCGAAGGCGGCUCACUGGUCCGGUACUGACGCUGAGGUGCGAAAGCGUGGGGAGCAAACAGG
rnacentral:rRNA from 1 species